GCGUUGAUUACUUUCCGUAGACAGAGAUGGCGGCAGCGGCAAGCAGUCCAGAUGGAGAUAGAGAUGGAUCUUUUUUAAGGGAAAAUGAAGACUUUGGCGGAGAAGGACAUUCGGAAACACCUCAGGAGUGUGCAGCGGCAAAAUGUCUGGACCAGAAACCCGUGUGUCUCAUCGUGCUCGGCAUGGCCGGGUCUGGGAAAACCACUUUUGUUCAGCGACUUACAGCCUACCUUCACACCAAAAAGUCUCCUCCUUAUGUGAUAAAUCUUGACCCCGCAGUUCACGAGGUUCCUUUUCCAGCAAAUAUUGAUAUUCGUGACACUGUCAACUACAAAGAAGUCAUGAAGCAAUAUGGCUUGGGCCCUAAUGGUGGAAUAGUCACAUCUUUGAACCUGUUUGCAACCAGAUUUGACCAGGUUAUGAAGUUCAUUGAGAAAAAACAAAAUAAUCACAAGUAUGUUCUGAUCGACACACCAGGGCAGAUAGAAGUGUUCACGUGGUCGGCUUCCGGAACCAUCAUCACGGAAGCUCUGGCGUCCUCCUUCCCCUGUGUUGUCGUGUAUGUGAUGGACACGUCCCGGAGCGUCAACCCUGUGACGUUCAUGUCCAACAUGCUGUAUGCCUGCAGCAUUCUGUACAAGACCAAGCUUCCCUUCAUUGUGGUUAUGAAUAAGACGGACAUAAUCGAUCACAGUUUUGCAGUGGAGUGGAUGCAGGAUUUUGAAGCGUUUCAGGAUUCCCUAAACCAGGAGACAUCUUACGUCAGCAAUCUGACUCGCUCUAUGAGUUUGGUCCUGGAUGAGUUCUACAGCAAUCUGCGGGUGGUUGGAGUGUCUGCUGUUACAGGCAGUGGGCUGGAUGAGAUGUUUGUGCAGGUGUCGGAGGCUGCGAAAGAGUACGAAACGGAAUAUCGGCCAGAAUAUGAAAGACUUCGCGGAGAGUUGAUUGAAGCCCAGAACAAAAAACAGCAAGAACAGCUAGAACGACUAAGAAAGGAUAUGGGAGCUGUUCCCAUGGAAACCUGCACUCAAACAGAAGCUUCAGAGCAGAGUGGGCCCAGCGACCUCAUCUUCACCCGGGGGAAUGUGGGUGACAGGGAUGAGGACGUCGACAGUGACACUGAUGAUAUUGACCAUACAGCCACAGAUGAGAGCAAAGAGGUCACAGCCUUCAAGAAUUUCCUGCAGGAGCGGAGAGAUGUGGUCAAUAUUCGCAACAAGAAGCUAUGACAUGAGCCAGCUGGACACCGGAGCUUUCUAUUCUGGAAAUGUGUAUAUGCUUCACCCCCACCCCAUUAACCAAGAUUCCAAAGCUCCACCCCCACGUCUUCCUCCUCUACUCCACAUUCUCGCCUCCGGUGAGGGCGGGGGCAGGGCUGCGUGCCCACGGCAGCCUUGCAGCUGGAUGACAUCAUCUCGGCAGUGCAAGCCAAGCAGCAAAACAAGACGACGUGUGUCUCCCUAAAUGUGGCCACUCCCCCCCACUCCGCCCAUCCAUAAGUGAACUAAACCUUGAAACACUGCAUGCAUUGCAUUGCACUGCCAACUUCUGUUACCUUAUAUCUCGCAUGCUGCUCUUAUGCGAUUCGUUGUUUUAAUCGCAAGUCUUGGAGCCACUUUAUCCUGCUUUUUAGGCCUGAUUGCUGUGUUUCUGCAUUCAUUUUUGUUUUUAGAAUUGCGACGAUAGAGUAAUUUAUCUCAUCAUCCUCCCUUAAUACAUUAGUAAGCUCCUGUAAAUUAUUUUAAAGUGGUUUUAUUGCGGAUGUAAGGUUUGUUGUAAAUGUUGCACGAUGCCACGUUCACACUGGACAUGCGCUGACAGAGACCCCGGAGAAUAAGCCUGAAAUGUUUUGUCCUCACAUUACCUGUGUUCAUUCAUUUUCUCCUGGGAUGCAUCAUGCAAAACAGCUUCAGAUACUGUCUACAAGACCUCAUUCACAUGCUUUACUGCUUUUAUUUUAUUUUUCGUCAGUUUACUUGUCAUUGUGGCAGACUAUUUAACCAAAAACAACUUGUUAUAAAAUAUGCUAAAAACAUAAUUUAUGACAUAUACAAGACAUUUAAACCUCACAAGCAGUGUCUAAUCAAUGCAGCAAAGCUCUGAUUAAUGUUUUGUGACAUGACUGUUGCAAGCAUUUACAGUAAAGACCAUUCUUAUAUUAAAAUGUCAGAAGUCUCAUUACGUAUCAUAAACUGCAGUGUCUGUGUUUUAUUGUUGUGAAUUGAAAUAUUAAAGAACUGUAAUCAAAA